GUUUGAUCCUGGCUCAGAGCGAACGUUAGCGGCGCGCCUAACACAUGCAAGUCGCACGAGAAAGGGGGCAACCCCCGGUACAGUGGCGCACGGGUGAGUAACACGUAGAUGACCUUCCCUGGAGUGGUGGAUAACCUGCCGAAAGGCGGGCUAAUACAGCAUGGGACCACACGGUUUUGGCCGAGUGGUGAAAGCGGGCCUCUGUUCACAAGCUCGCGCUCUGGGAUGGAUCUGCGGCCCAUCAGCUAGUUGGUGAGGUAAUGGCUCACCAAGGCUACGACGGGUAGCUGGUCUGAGAGGAUGAUCAGCCACACUGGAACUGAGACACGGUCCAGACUCCUACGGGAGGCAGCAGUGGGGAAUCUUGCGCAAUGGGCGAAAGCCUGACGCAGCGACGCCGCGUGGGUGACGAAGGCCUUCGGU
rnacentral:rRNA from 1 species